UGUGACUUAGUUGGUUAAAGCGCGUGUCUAGCGAAUGCGGAGUCGUGGGUUCAAAUCCCAUCA
rnacentral:tRNA from 1 species